rnacentral:rRNA from 1 species
UACGUAGGGUGCGAGCGUUAAUCGGAAUUACUGGGCGUAAAGUGUGCGCAGGUGGCCGCGCAAGUCGAGUGUGAAAUCCCGAGCUUAACCUGGGAAUGGCAUUGGUGACUGCACGGCUAGAGUGUGUCAGAGGGGGUAGAAUUCCACGUGUAGCAGUGAAUGCGUAGAGAUGUGGAGGAAUACCGAUGGCGAAGGCAGCCCCUGGGAUAACACUGACGCUCAUGCACGAAAGCGUGGGAGCAAACAGG